UGUAAACGAUGCCGACAGAGGUUUGUCAUUUUAUAAUGGCAGAACUUUUAGAGAAAUCAUAGUUCUUGGGCUCUGGGGGAACUACGACCGCGAGGCUGAAACUUGAAGGAAUUGACGGAAGGGCACACCAGGGGUGGAGCCUGUGGCUUAAUUUGAAUCAACACGGGGAAACUUACCAGGACCAGAUGUUUUUUAUGACUGACAGGCUUCGGGUCUUUCAGGAUAUUGCUUUUGGUGGUGCAUGGCCGUUGGUGGUGCGUGGGUUGACCUGUCUAGCGUUGAUUCAGCUAACGAGCGAGAUUAUCGCCAAUUAUAUACCUCGCAUUGGCUUCAGUGUUGAGGUUCUAAUUGGGACUCCCUGCGAUUUUAGCAGGCGGAAGAGGGUAGCAAUAACAGGUCCGUGAUGUCCUUUAGAUGCUCUGGGCUGCACGCGUGCUACAAUGCUAAGAUCAAUAGGAAGCUAGUCUGAUAGGACAUGCUACUCUUAUAAUCCUUAGCGUAGUUGGGA
rnacentral:rRNA from 1 species